AGGAAAUAGAUACCCCGGUAGUCCCAGCCGUAAACGAUGCUCGCUAGGUGUCAGGCAUGGCGCGACCGUGUCUGGUGCCGCAGGGAAGCCGUGAAGCGAGCCACCUGGGAAGUACGGCCGCAAGGCUGAAACUUAAAGGGAAUUGGCGGGGAGCACAACAACGGGUGGAGCCUGCGGUUUAAUUGGACUCAACGCCGGACAACUCACCGGGGCGGACAGCAAUAUGUAGGCCAAGCUGAAGACUUUGUCCUGAAUCGCUGAGAGGAGGUGCAUGGCCGUCGCCAGUUCGUACUGUGAAGCAUCCUGUUAAGUCA
rnacentral:rRNA from 1 species